AUUGAACGCUGGCGGCAGGCCUAACACAUGCAAGUCGAACGAGUGGCGGACGGGUGAGUAAUGUCUGGGAAACUGCCUGAUGGAGGGGGAUAACUACUGGAAACGGUGUCUAAUACCGCCUACCCCCGGCUGUGCCCAGAUGGGAUUAGCUAGUAGGUGGGGUAAAGGCUCACCUAGGCGACGAUCCCUAGCUGGUCUGAAAGGAGGACCGGCCACACUGGAACUGAGACACGGUCCAGACUCCUACAGGAGGCAGCAGUGGGGAAUAUUGCACAAAGGGCGCAAGCCUGAUGCAGCCAUGCCGCGUGUAUGAAGAAGGACUUCGAGUUAGAAGGUACUUUCAGCGGGGAGGCGUUACCCACAGAAGAAACACCGGCUAACUCCGUGCCAGCAGCCGCGGUAAUAC
rnacentral:rRNA from 1 species